rnacentral:tRNA from 14 species
GCGGGAAUAGCUCAGUUGGUAGAGCAUCAGCCUUCCAAGCUGAGGGUCGCGGGUUCGAGUCCCGUUUCCCGCUCCA